AAACCCAGGAAGGUGUGGCGUCCCCGCUUCGCGGCCAAGAUGGUGCUGGUGCUGCGCCAUCCUUUGUGUGCCCGGGAAGGGCGUUCCGGGAGCCGGGUCCGGGACUCCUGACUCGCAUUGGGCAGCAUGACGGUGAGCCGGCUGUCACUGCUGUGCUGGGACCUCUGGGCGCUGUGGCUGCUGCUGAAGGCCGGCGCAGAUGAAAUCAUGCACCAGGACAUCGUCCCGCUCUGUGCUGCCGACAUCCAGGACCAGCUAAAGAAGCGCUUUGCUUACCUGUCCGGUGGGCGGGGGCAGGACGGAAGCCCGGUCAUCACCUUCCCUGACUACCCGGCCUUCAGCGAGAUUCCGGACAAGGAGUUCCAGAAUGUCAUGACCUACCUCACCAGCAUCCCCAGGUACGUGCGCCCAGAGCCCGGCAGACAUUGUGGUUUGGGGCAGAGUCCCUGUGAGAUUUCACCAGGGUGGGGUCCCUGCAACUAUGGGAUGAGGCAGAGUCCCUGUGAGAUUUCCCUGUCAUGGGGUCCCCGUGACUGUGGGUCGGGGCA
rnacentral:sRNA from 1 species